CCUACGGGAGGCAGCAGUGAGGAAUUUUGCGCAAUGGGCGAAAGCCUGACGCAGCGACGCCGCGUGGAGGACGAAGGCCUUCGGGUCGUAAACUCCUGUCAACGGGGACGAAUCCGGGGUGGAUGAAUAAGCCACCUCGUUGACGGUACCCGUGGAGGAAGCCCUGGCUAACUCCGUGCCAGCAGCCGCGGUAAU
rnacentral:rRNA from 1 species